UAAGAGGUUCUGAGUUGCAACUCAGGGAU
rnacentral:piRNA from 1 species